rnacentral:rRNA from 1 species
AUACGGAGGGUGCAAGCGUUAUCCGGAAUCAUUGGGUUUAAAGGGUCCGUAGGCGGGCUAAUAAGUCAGGGGUGAAAUCCCACAGCUUAACUGUGGAACUGCCCUUGAUACUGUUGGUCUUGAGUUACAGUGAAGUGGUUAGAAUGUGUAGUGUAGCGGUGAAAUGCAUAGAGAUUACACAUAAUACCGAUGCGAAGGCAGAUCACUAACUGUAUACUGACGCUAAUGGACGAAAGCGUGGGGAGCGAACAGGAUUAGAUACCCUUGUAGUCC